CUGAACUUAAGCAUAUCAAUAAGCGGAGGAAAAGAAGCCAACAGGGAUUGCCUUAGUAACGGCGAGUGAAGCGGCAACAGCUCAAAU
rnacentral:rRNA from 1 species